rnacentral:rRNA from 1 species
UGAGUAACCUGCCCUUAACUCUGGGAUAAGCCUGGGAAACUGGGUCUAAUACCGGAUAUGACUCCUCAUCGCAUGGUGGGGGGUGGAAAGCUUUUUGUGGUUUUGGAUGGACUCGCGGCCUAUCAGCUUGUUGGUGAGGUAAUGGCUCACCAAGGCGACGACGGGUAGCCGGCCUGAGAGGGUGGCCGGCCACACUGGGACUGAGACACGGCCCAGACUCCUACGGGAGGCAG